rnacentral:rRNA from 1 species
UACAGAGGUCUCAAGCGUUGUUCGGAUUCAUUGGGCGUAAAGGGCGCGUAGGCUGCGGGGCAAGUCGGGUGUGAAAUCUCAGAGCUCAACUCUGAAACUGCACUCGAUACUGCUUUGCUUGAGGACUGGAGAGGAGAUUGGAAUUCACGGUGUAGCAGUGAAAUGCGUAGAUAUCGUGAGGAAGACCAGUGGCGAAGGCGGAUCUCUGGACAGUUCCUGACGCUGAGGCGCGAAGGCCAGGGGAGCAAACGGGG